AUUUGAAAAAUCGUUAUCAGUUAAAAAAAAAUUCGGAUGAAUAUUUUGUGUCGUGUAGAGAGUAAUAAUUAUAGCACAGGUUUGGCAUUUUAUGGUACAAUAUUUGGAUACGUGCGAAGCUAGUGGAUUAGACCUUGCCGAAUGGCUGUCGAUGUUGUUUUAAUUGAGCUUUUCAACUCUUGGCCGAGAUUACAGUUCCGAAGGAUUGAGCCAAGGGUUGCUUAUAUGCUUGCAGCAUCUGCGAGAAUUUGGUUAAGCCUAUCCGCAGAAGCGGAAGGAGCGGCGGUUUUAUACUACUCGAUUGGAAAAUAACAUUACUUCGAAGAACGCCAUUCCGACCACCCGGAAGAUAAUGUUUCGACUCAAGACAAAGGAUAGAUUGGGGUUGAAACAAACUACAGAGCUUUUGCGUAUACGGAUUCUAAUCUGCAGGGGCUUUACUGGGUCACAGAGCUACUACAUCGUUUCCCAAAUCUCGUGGUUGGCGUGUUGACCCGUGAGGCAGUCCUUCCGGGGUGGUAUAACAACUGAACAGAUAAUCAGCUAUCUGGAACAGCACGCACAUCUCACGAUGCUGAACACGAAACAUACCGCCAAAACCAAGUCAGCCCUACCACCGACGGAUGUCGAUCAGAUCAAAUUAUGGGAAAACGAACGCAAUCGAUUCACCUACACCGAGGGAGUGGUGUACAAUCAGUUUCUUUCGCCGGGCGAUUUCAAGACACUGCGCGAUUGUCGAUUGGGGUGAUGAUCCGGCAGAAAGAACGCACCCGCACCAUGGUCGUCACCAAGAACGGCCACAACGAUGUCAAAUGGUUCUAAGAGCGAUACUCAAAGGGUGGAACCCAACCCCUGGCUGCCGGAACUAACAGCCAGGGGUUGGGAUUUUUUUUCUAACAGCGAAAGAUAAGCUAUGUCGCAUUUGGUUUGCUUUAAUAAAAUUAUAGAACUAGGGGAGAUCUAAUACAGAUGUUUUGAUUAACUGUACUAUCUCAUCUCUUAGAUACGAAGUUAUCCUUCGAAUGACAGUUGGGAGCUUUUUAGGUUUUUAAAUCAGGCUAUUUUCUUAACUCCUAAAGAAAUUAGGUUUGAAGCGUGAUGCAACUAAUGUAUUUGUGAUUGGUUUUCUCAAUAUUAAGAAUCAAGAAAAAAUAGUUUGAACACGUUCUUUUCUAUUCAGCAAGAGUUGUUUUGCAGUGU